rnacentral:rRNA from 1 species
AUUGAACGCUGGCGGCAUGCCUUACACAUGCAAGUCGAACGGUAACAGGUCUUCGGAUGCUGACGAGUGGCGAACGGGUGAGUAAUACAUCGGAACGUGCCUAGUAGUGGGGGAUAACUACUCGAAAGAGUGGCUAAUACCGCAUGAGAUCUACGGAUGAAAGCAGGGGAUCGCAAGAACUUGUGCUACUAGAGCGGCCGAUGGCAGAUUAGGUAGUUGGUGGGAUAAAAGCUUACCAAGCCGACGAUCUGCAGCUGGUCUGAGAGGACGAUCAGCCACACUGGGACUGGGACACGGCCCAGACUCCUACGGGAGGCAGCAGUGGGGAAUUUUGGACAAUGGGCGAAAGCCUGAUCCAGCAAUGCCGCGUGCAGGAUGAAGGCCUUCGGGUUGUAAACUGCUUUUGUACGGAACGAAAAGCCCCGGGUUAAUACCCUGGGGUCAUGACGGUACCGUAAGAAUAAGCACCGGCUAACUACGUGCCAGCCGCCGCCGUAA